GGCAGGAAGGCGCAGGGUGCGCGUUGGGUUCUGUUAGAGUGGCUUGACAUAAGCAACCCGAAGGGCCUCGUUCGAUUCGGGGUCCUGCCA